rnacentral:lncRNA from 1 species
UCAACAUUAUGGACGGUAGUGGUAGGCUAGGCCUGCGCCUGUACAUCAGUUGACAGAGUUUGAAGGUUCUACCAAGGAUGUCAACUGUGGAGCACAUACAGGAUGCAGAGCACAGUGAUGACGUAUCACCAUGGCAACGCGUACCGCUCAAGAUCACUUGAAUGAGAUUGUACCUGACACCGUUAAUUGUAAAGAGCGCCACCUGUUGUUUGGUUAUCGAUCAACAUUAUGCAGCAGAUAAUGCAGCAGUAGGCUAUAUAGGCCUGUACGUCAGAGUUACUUCUACAACGACGAUAGGUUCAACUACAACUAUGCGCAGGCCAAA